UACGUAGGGUGCGAGCGUUAAUCGGAAUUACUGGGCGUAAAGCGUGCGCAGGCGGUUCGUGAUGUCUGAUGUGAAAGCCCCGGGCUUAACCUGGGAAUUGCAUUGGAAACUAGCGGGCUGGAGUGUGGCAGAGGGGGGUGGAAUUCCACGUGUAGCAGUGAAAUGCGUAGAGAUGUGGAGGAACACCGAUGGCGAAGGCAGCCCCCUGGGCUGACACUGACGCUCAUGCGCGAAAGCGUGGGGAGCAAACAGG
rnacentral:rRNA from 1 species